GCACGAGCUGAGGACAGUAAGGUCAAUGUUGUAUUGAAAUUAAUUAGACUUUUGGAAUUCCAACGAGAAAUAAAAAGAAUUACAAAUUGAAAACGUAAUCGGAAUCGAUUUGGCCACAUUCGGUGGCAGCCAAAACGUCAACAGGUCUUUGGCAUUUGUUUCAAUUUUCGAAAAGUGAAAAAAAUGUAAAAAACUGAAUUUGUAUUUAUCGGUUAACGAGUCGGAGUUACUGGAAUUUGAGCUGGUUAAUUACGAUAACUGGCCAUUAACACAUUAAAGCAAGACGCUUUUUUUAAGAGCCGGCGUUUUGUUAGCCACGUUAACACACAAAUGUUGGCCACGAUGACGAAGACGAAGACUCAAGCCGAAACUGAAGACGAUGACGCCGACAAAUAUGCGAUUCCACACAUGACUCGCGAUCUCGAAUGUUUGUUUGCUUUUGUGGGGGCCCCUCUGACCUUGAUAUACAUAAAUUAUGGUUCACUUGCGGCCGCUUUGUAUCAAGUAAUCAUAACGAAAUAUUUUCAAACAUUUUCAUGCAUAUUUUUAUA